UAAAAAAAAAAACAAACUAACCCCCAAACACAGUGAGUGUGUCUGGGGGAACGAUCGAACAAGGAAGGAGGAGGGGGAAACCCUAAACUCAAGAAAUCAAGCAAUUGAAGCCUAAAAUCAUAAGAAAAUCCAGUGCAUGAGCCAUCUUAUCGAUCAUCUAAGCAUACCUAGUGAAGUGCUUGAAAGAAUAAGAACCAUGCCAAGAUGGACCAACUCAUGGGAAGCAAACGGGUCAAAGAGGAGGCAAAGAAACUAGCAUAAACAUGACGAGCACGAGUAUGUUUGAAAGUGCAGGUUAUGAAUGUCGGACUUUCAAAGUGUUGAUAUAAUAAUGAAACGGUUGAAUCUUGAAAGGAUAAUCGGAUUGAAGUAACUUAUGCGGUUAGAAUAUGCUGUGGACGUUUUAGUUUAUACAACAUUUUAUGUUUGGUCGUCAUCAUCUACCAACGGGUAAAUCCUCAAUUCAGGCGACUUGGAGAAUCGGAGCGAGCGCGUGUUCAUGUUAUGUCAUACUAAACGCUUCCGCUAGCUUGUUCAAAUGUUUUUAGUCCAAAAUUUGUUGUAUUGGUUCUUAGUAGUAUUUUGUCGAAUGAAUCGUAGAAUUGUAUCUAGUUUGAUUAUGUUUAAAACAGGGGAAUGCUCGUUUUAUGGACGGGUCAUGCCCAAUUUUUGUUAAAUUAAUGCACCUGCGUUAUUGAUAUUAUCA